UACGGGGGGGGCAAGCGUUGUUCGGAAUUACUGGGCGUAAAGGGCUCGUAGGCGGCCAACUAAGUCAGACGUGAAAUCCCUCGGCUUAACCGGGGAACUGCGUUUUGAAACUGGGAGACUUGAGUUUGGGAGAGGGACGCGGAAUUCCAGGUGUAGCGGUGAAAUGCGUAGAUAUCUGGAGGAACACCGGUGGCGAAGGCGGCGUCCUGGACCAACACUGACACUGAUGAGCGAAAGCCAGGGGAGCAAACGGG
rnacentral:rRNA from 1 species